rnacentral:rRNA from 1 species
GAUGAACGCUAGCUACAGGCUUAACACAUGCAAGUCGCGGGGCAGCAUGGGGGUUGCUUGCAAUCCCCGAUGGCGACCGGCGCACGGGUGAGUAACGCGUAUCCAACCUGCCCUUCACCACGGGAUAACCCGGCGAAAGUCGGACUAAUACCGUAUGUUGUCCAUUGACGGCAUCCGAUUUGGACGAAAGGUUUGGCGGUGAAGGAUGGGGAUGCGUCCGAUUAGCUGGACGGCGGGGUGACGGCCCACCGUGGCGACGAUCGGUAGGGGUUCUGAGAGGAAGGUCCCCCACACUGGAACUGAGACACGGUCCAGACUCCUACGGGAGGAAGCAGUGAGGAAUAUUGGUCAAUGGGCGUAAGCCUGAACCAGCCAAGUAGCGUGCAGGAUGACGGCCCUAUGGGUUGUAAACUGCUUUUAUGCGGGGAUAAAGUGGCCCACGUGUGGGUUUUUGCAGGUACCGCAUGAAUAAGGACCGGCUAAUUCCGUG